UCUGUCACUGUUGUUGUGGUUGGUUUUUCUGUGAAUGUUGUUGUGGUAGGUGUUUCUGUGACAGUUGUUGUGGUAGUUGUUUCUGUAACUGUUGUUGUGGUAGGUUUUUCUGUGACUGUUGUUGUGGUAGGUUUUUCUGUGACUGUUGUUGUGGUAGGUUUUUCUGUCGAUGUUGUGGUAGGUUCUACUGUGACUGUUGUUGUGGUAGGUUCUACUGUGACUGUUGUUGUGGUAGGUUCUACUGUGACUGUUGUUGUGGUAGGUUCUUCUGUGACAGUUGUUGUGGUAGGUUUUUCUGUGACUGUUGUUGUGGUAGGUUUUUCUGUCGAUGUUGUGGUAGGUUCUACUGUGACUGUUGUUGUGGUAGGUUUUUCUGUGGAUGUUGUUGUGGUAGGUUUUUCUGUGACUGUUGUUGUGGUAGGUGUUUCU